ACCGGUCUUGGCCGGGCGCGGGUCGUCGAUCUGGCGGGGCGGCGGCUGCUGGUGGUGGGGUUCGGCGCCUCGGGGCGGCG
rnacentral:tRNA from 1 species